GCUGGGCGUGGUGGUGCACGCCUGUAAUCCCAGCUACUGGGGAGGCUGAGGCAGGAGAAUGGCUUGAACCCAGGAGGCGGAAGUUGCAGUGAGCCGAGAUCAUGCCACUGCACUCCAGCCUGAGUGACACAGCAAGACUCCGUCUCAA
rnacentral:sRNA from 1 species